rnacentral:lncRNA from 10 species
CUUCAGGUGAAAAUUUCCAGUAUCCAUAUUCGUUAUGAAGAUGAUAUCACAAAUCGGGACAAACCGCUGUCAUUUGGUAUUUCCCUUCAAAAUCUGAGCAUGCAGGAAUAAGCUGUUUUGGAUAAAGUUUGAAUCCCUUUUGUUUUCUACUUCCACCCACCCGUCCUUCCCCAGAGAUAAGUAUCCUAAAUUUUAAAACUUUUAUAUAAUAUAUCUAUUAAAAAUGUAGGAUUAUAAAAGUUUACGCGUUUUAUAUGACUCUUUUAUGAGUUCCUUUUUGCACUUUCCAGUGUUGUUGACAUUUAUCUGUGUUACCACAUGUAACAAAAUUCAUUCAGUUUAACUGCUGUGUAUUUCAUUGCAUGAUUUUAUUUGUUGUAUCUAUUGGGUUUUGUGUAAGAUUUCUUUUUAAUUUUAUUAUUAUUUUUAAAUUGGGCAGCCUCCCAAGCCAGAGCAGGCUCAGAGAGACUCCACAGUUUCUUUUUAAAAUGUGGCCCCACUGCAACGAAA